rnacentral:rRNA from 1 species
GACGAACGCUGGCGGCGUGCUUAACACAUGCAAGUCGAACGGUGAAGCGCUUUCCUUUUUGGUUGGUGUGGAUGAGUGGCGAACGGGUGAGUAACACGUGAGUAACCUGCCCCCUUCUUCUGGAUAACCGCAUGAAAGUGUGGCUAAUACGGGAUAUUCUGCGCCUGCUGCAUGGUGGGUGUGGGAAAGAUUGUGCCUUUGGGUGUUUUCGGUGGGGGAUGGGCUCGCGGCCUAUCAGCUUGUUGGUGGGGUGAUGGCCUACCAAGGCGGUGACGGGUAGCCGGCCGGAGAGGGUGGACGGUCACACUGGGACUGAGACACGGCCCAGACUGCUACGGGAGGCAGCAGUGGGGAAGAUUGCACAAGGGGCGCAAGCCUGAUGCAGCGACGCCGCGUGAGGGAUGGAGGCCUUCGGGUUGUGAACCUCUUUCGCCAGUGAAGCAGGCCUGCUCCUUGUGGGUGGGUUGACGGUAGCUGGAUAAGAAGCGCCGGCUAACUACGUG